UUUAAAUGAAUUGACGGGGAGCACCACAACGGGUGGAGCUUGCGGUUUAAUUGGAUUCGAACGCCGGAAAUCUUACCGGGACCGACAGCAAUAUGAAGGCCAGGCUGAAGACUUUGCCGGAUUAGCUGAGAGGUGGUGCAUGGCCGUCGUCAGUUCGUACUGUGAAGCAUCCUGUUAAGUCAGGCAACGAGCGAGACCCACGCCCACAGUUGCCAGCGUACUCUCUGGAGUGACGGGUACACUGUGGGGACCGCCGCUGCUAAAGCGGAGGAAGGAGUGGGCAACGGUAGGUCAGUAUGCCCCGAAUAUCCCGGGCUACACGCGAGCUACAAUGGUUGGUACAAUGGGUAUCUACCCGAAAGGGGACGGGAAUCUCCUAAAACCAAUCUUAGUUCGGAUUGAGGGCUGCAACUCGCCCUCAUGAAGCUGGAAUCCGUAGUAAUCGCGUUUCAACAGAACGCGGUGAAUACGUCCCUGCUCCUU
rnacentral:rRNA from 1 species